CCUACAGGAGGCUGCAGUGGGGAAUAUUGGACAAUGUGGGGGAACCCUGAUCCAGCCAUGCCGCGUGUGUGAAGAAGGCCCUCGGGUUGUAAAGCACUUUCAGUGAGGAAGAACGCCUGGUGGUUAAUACCCAUCAGGAAAGACAUCACUCACAGAAGAAGCACCGGCUAACUCCGUGCCAGCAGCCGCGGUAAUACGGAGGGUGCGAGCGUUAAUCGGAAUUACUGGGCGUAAAGCGCGCGUAGGUGGCUUGAUAAGCCGGUUGUGAAAGCCCCGGGCUCAACCUGGGAACGGCAUCCGGAACUGUCAAGCUAGAGUGCAGGAGAGGAAGGUAGAAUUCCCGGUGUAGCGGUGAAAUGCGUAGAGAUCGGGAGGAAUACCAGUGGCGAAGGCGGCCUUCUGGACUGACACUGACACUGAGGUGCGAAAGCGUGGGUAGCAAACAGGAUUAGAUACCCUUGUAGUC
rnacentral:rRNA from 1 species